UUCUCUACAAUUAGACGCAAAGUCGCGUUUUCAAAUUCCUCAACUCCGCAGCAGCUUUAGCAGCAAAUAGUAAGCGUUCAUUGACUACAUCACUAUAUCGAUCGUCGUGCUCUCGAAAUUCGUUGAUUUCAAGGAAAUGGAUUGUCGAAGAAUCUUGAUUGCUGCGCUACUGUCGAUUAUCGUGACGCAGGGAGAGAGCAAAGCGCUGGAAUCGCCGCAGUACACGGUGGUGCAUUCGGAAUCUGAUUUUGAGGUGAGGUUCUACAGGGAAUCGGCUUGGAUGACCGCCGCCACUGAUGAAAUCUCCUUUGAGAAAGCUACGAGAUACGGAUUCCAUAGAUUGUUCCAGUUCAUAGAAGGCGCAAACUUGAACUCCUCCCGAAUACCAAUGACUGUCCCUGUUUUAACAAGCAUAAUCCCGGAAGGAGGACCUCUCCACUCGUCAGCAUACGCCGUGAAAUUCUACCUGCCGGAAAAGUUUCAGGCGACACCACCGCUCCCACUUCCUGAGCUGAACCUCCAGCCAGAUUGGUGGGAAGGUCAUUGCAUCGCCGCCAGAAAAUUUACAGGAUUCGCGAGGGAUAAGAACAUCGUCAAGGAAGCUGAGAAACUCGCCGUCAGUUUGAGCAGGUCUCCUUGGGCGAACUCGACCUCUACUCAGAGUGGAUACGCGUAUUCUAUCGCACAGUAUAAUUCCCCUUUCAGGUUCAUCGGCCGUGUGAACGAAGUUUGGGUGGAUAUCGAAGGAUCCGAGGCAGGCGGUUGCAAGCCCAAUGUCUUGGCUACGUUCGAAAGCUCUUCGAAAGCGAAAGAAAUUCUUACAUACAUGUGAACCGGCGCGUAACGCAAUCUUCCAUGGCUGCCGUCCCGGGUUUCAUUACCGGCUAAGAUGCAGGUUUUCUUCCCGCCAUUGGCAGCUUAAUUUGACAGAAAAAAAAAGACGAGGAGGAGCGAUGAAAGCAAGACGAAUGUAAACACCGAAGAAGACAACCUUAAAUCGCGUUUCAGAACCAAGUUGUUGUUUGGCGAUGCGUCCCGAUUAUGCCAUAAGAACUCGGCUUCAACAAGCGAAGCGCCUAACGUCCAAGAAACAUCUCCGGGACCGAAUAUUAUGUCCACGCCAGCUAGGCAGAGAGCGUUUUCGAUAAGCGAUGCCAAGUAGGGCAUUCGGAAACAAUCUUGGCCGUUGAAGCCUUUCGGAUUAUCCCCCGAUCUGGCGCAUAGGUUCUCGCCUGACUCCCACAGUGUCGACAGAUUCAACGUCUGGCUUAGAUUUAGCGCGCGGUAGAUGGCGAAAAAUCCAGACAUUGCGUGGUAACGGGAGACGUAGUGCAGACUUCUCG